rnacentral:rRNA from 1 species
UGGGGGAGUAUUGCACAAUGGGGGGAACCCGUGAUGCAGCGACGCCGCGUGAAGGAAGAAGUAUCUCGGUAUGUAAACUUCUAUCAGCAGGGAAGAAAAUGACGGUACCUGACUAAGAAGCCCCGGCUAACUACGUGCC